rnacentral:sRNA from 1 species
UUUGCGUUAGGGAUGGUAGCGGCAUCUCCCGAUUUAGAAAAACAAGGCUUUUUUGCCGUAGUUUUUGUUAAUUGGGAAUAUAGCGAACAGCCCGACCGCCU